GAUGAACGCUGGCGGCGUGCCUAAUACAUGCAAGUCGAGCGAACAGACGAGGAGCUUGCUCCUCUGACGUUAGCGGCGGACGGGUGAGUAACACGUGGAUAACCUACCUCUAAGACUGGGAUACCUUCGGGAAACCGGAGCUAAUACCGGAUAAUAUAUUGAACCGCAUGGUUCAAUAGUGAAAGACGGUUUUGCUGUCACUUAUUGAUGGAUCCGCGCCGCAUUAGCUAGUUGGUAAGGGAGCUGCUUACCAAGGCAACGAUGCGUAGCCGACCUGAGAGGGUGGUCGGCCAGACUGGAACUGAGACACGGCCCAGACUCCUACGGGAGGCAGCAGUCGGGAAUCUUCCGGGAUGGGCGAGAGCCUGACGGAGCAACGCCGCGGGAGUGAUGAAGGUCUUCGGAUCGGAAAACGCUGUUAGUAGGAAAGAACAAAUGUGUAAGUACCUAUGCACGUAUUGACGGUACCUAAUCAGAAAGCCACGGCUAACUACGUG
rnacentral:rRNA from 1 species